UUUUUAAAUCUGUAGUAAACCAAACUUUAAUUUAAUAUUUGAGGGGGGUCUGAAAUUUAACUAAAGCACCAAACUUGUAACACGAUUGAGAAAAACCGAUGAUUUUUUCGAUUAAACCGGUUUCACUUUCCUUAACCGCAAUCGCCGGCGGAAGACGAUCGGUUCCGGGAAAGCUUCAAUUUUCACCCUUACCCAUCAUCGGAAACUUCCAAAAGCCUAAUCCUUUCCCUCAAAAGCCACUUUUGUCUACUCAGAGUUUGUCCAAUUUCACUUCGGCGGCGCAGUAGCGGAGGAGUGAUGUUUUUUAAGGGUUGGAGCUUAAGAAAGGGAUGAAGUCAAUGAGUGGGAUGAAUUAAUCCGCCAUUGCGAUUCUUGGGAACUUGCAUCUAUUCUCAGGCGAAGCAGUGAGGGAGUUGAAAGGAGCUGUUUUCACAGGGAAGUUUGAUACUUUGAUUCACCGGUCAAGUAUUUUAGCUUUCAUUAGUAUUGUUGCUUGAUGAAUACGUCUGCUUAGUUCUUUUGAGUGAAGCUUGAAGAGUGAAAUGAAUAUAUCUAUAAAAUUCUGGAAUCUUGAAGGUGAAUUUUGUGCAGAUUCAACGUUUUCUAGAUUAAGGGUGGAAGUACUGAUCGAACUGUGUGAUGAUGAUUUCGAUUAUUCAGGUGGCAAGUGACACAUAAGUCUCAUACAUAUAUCCCUAGACCAGAUUUAAUUGACAUUAAGCGUUGGAAACACAAUGAAGCGGAUCUCAAGCACUGUCGCCUCUAGCAUCAUCUUCCAAAACCUGUCAAUGCCCCUUGAUGCUGCCAUUGCAAUUCUUGGAACUUUCCUCUAUUCGCAGGUCAAAAGGAGUGAAGAUAAUAGACCAUUUUCACAGUCUGUGCAAGGCUUCUUUCUCAUUAAUUGUCUGCCUUUUAGAUGGGAACAAGAGAGGCAAACGCAAACGCACAAAGGCAAAGCAGUGAGGAAGUUGGAGUGGUUUUCACUGGGGAGUUUGAUGCACCAAUACUGAGAGCUGAGGAGAGAAGAAGAUUCAUGUUAAGAUCUCAGAAGGGUAACGUAAUCGUUGGAUCUGAGCAAAUGGAGUUGGAAGAUCAACGCCUUAACAUCUUUACUUACUCUUGAAUAUCACUUUGGUCUUAUAGCUCCACCCAUUUAAACUCUAUUGAAUAUCACUUUCGUUUUUACUCCUAGCUACUAGCUAGAUUCCUAGUGUGCUAUCUUCAGAUAAGUAAACAAAUGCAGAUUAACUUAUUCAUAUGCACAUGCAUGCAUAUAACUAUUAUCUUCGAGUUUUAAGAAAUUUUAUUAUU